rnacentral:rRNA from 1 species
GAACUUGCUUCUCUUGNNACGGCUGACGGGUGAGUAAUGCCUAGGAAUCUGCCUGGUAGUGGGGGAUAACGUUCGGAAACGGACGCUAAUACCGCAUACGUCCUACGGGAGAAAGCAGGGGACCUUCGGGCCUUGCGCUAUCAGAUGAGCCUAGGUCGGAUUAGCUAGUUGGUGGGGUAAUGGCUCACCAAGGCGACGAUCCGUAACUGGUCUGAGAGGAUGAUCAGUCACACUGGAACUGAGACACGGUCCAGACUCCUACGGGAGGCAGCAGUGGGGAAUAUUGGACAAUGGGCGAAAGCCUGAUCCAGCCAUGCCGCGUGUGUGAAGAAGGUCUUCGGAUUGUAAAGCACUUUAAGUUGGGAGGAAGGGCAGUNANNUAAUACUUUGCUGUUUUGACGUUACCGACAGAAUAAGCACCGGCUAACUCUGUGCCAGNGNCCCCGCGGUAAUAAA